rnacentral:rRNA from 1 species
AUGAACGCUGGCGGCGCGCCUAACACCUGCCAGUCGCACGGUUAAAGCACCUUUUAGGUGUGUAUAAAGUGGCGAACGGCUGAGUAACACGUGGGCAACCUGCCCUCCUCUUGGGGAUAGCCUCGGGAAACCGAGGAUAAUACCCGAUACUUCAAUGUGGCCGCAUGACGACAUUGAGAAAGCUUUUGCGGAGAAGGAUGGGCCCGCGGCCUGUUAGCUUGUUGGUGGGGUAGAGGCCUACCAAGGCAAUGAUGGGUAGCUGGGUUGAGAGACCGACCAGGCAGAGUGGGACUGAGACACGGCCCAGACUCCUACGGGAGGCAGCAGUGGGGAAUCUUGCACAAGGGGCGAAAGCCUGAUGCAGAGACGCCGCGUGCGGGACGAAGGCCUUCGGGUUGUAAACCGCUUUCAGCAGGGACGAGGCGAUAAGUGACGGUACCUGCAGAAGAAGCCCCGGCUAACUACGUG